rnacentral:tRNA from 2 species
GGGCGGAUACCCAAGCGGCCAACGGGGGCAGACUGUAAAUCUGCUGGCAUAGCCUUCGCAGGUUCGAAUCCUGCUCCGCCCACCA